UCAUCUGUAGGGUCCAUUCUCAUAUGCUGGGGCUUGUUGAGAGGCCCUAUAGCUCAAGAGUUGCAGUUCAAGUCCAUCAUUGUUCCUGAUUAGAGGUGCUAUCAUGGCAGCAAGCACAGGGGCUUCAGGAUGGCUAAGGGGCAAGGUGAAGGCUGUGACAUCUGGAGACUGCCUUCUCAUCAUGGGGAGCACAAAGGCAGAGAUUCCACCAGAGAAGUCCAUCACUCUGUCAUACCUAAUGGCCCCAAGGCUGGCUCGUCGUGGUGGAGUGGAUGAGCCAUUUUCUUGGGAAAGCAGGGAGUAUCUGAGGAAACUCUGCGUAGGAAAGGUACAUGAUGUGUCUUUUAUUUAUCUAUUCCAAAUCCUCCUAUGCAUGUAUUAUUACUGAAUGUAAUCACAUAAAAACGACUUCUAUUUUCUCUUGGAUG